CAGGCAGUCCGAAGAUUUUUAAAAGAAGCAGCUGCACACAUUGUCUGUUUCACCACUCAUGGGCAGGUGGAAAGCUGAUCCUGAAGAGGUAAAGUUGUUGGCUGGCCACAGGCAGGGGAGGGGGAACCCGCUCCCUUAGGCCUUUGUUGCUGUGCUGGGUGAAGGUUGUGGAGAAGCCUUGCCUCUAGAAAGAGAGGACAGGAAGAGAGCAGUGAUGCCUUAGGAAAAGAAAAAACUGCAAGUUACUGAGCUCUGACCACGGGCCAACACCUGUCAGUGCUUGAUGUCAGCCACAGCCCUGAGGGACAAGGGCAUGGAGCCUGGGUCCGUGAAGUGAGCUCUCUAAGGUCGGAGGUGAAGCGAGGGGGGCAUGUGCAGUGUGAACUGGGGGCUCUGACUGCAAGUGCUGUCCACCAUUGGAUCCAGGUGGCUGGGCAUACUCUCACUGUCCAGACGAUGACUGGAUUCGGGGGUCUUUUCUGGUGCCAGUGUUCCAGUGUUUGUCAGCAGCUCUGGUUUUUGUUGGUCCCUUAUCACCAAAGACCACUUCCCCUUUGCCCUUGUGGGGGAUGUGAAGGGUGGCCCUGAAUCACGCACUUCCACUUCCUCUGGUCUUCGCUGGAGCUCUGAAAAGGGGUGAACACCAAACACUACUAUUCUGGGCUGAUGGCGUUCAAUCUGGCCUUCUGUGCACCUGGAGCUUGGGCAGCUCAUCUUGGUCUUGCUGAUGGCACUGUUUUCCAGUGGCUGAAGGAGCAGGUGAUGCUCUGUUUUGUUGCAUGUUCUGUGCUUUCUGCAGACUCCCCUGGUCACACUUGGGCCUGGGAGCUGCAUGGUCACCCAGACAGGGCAUGUCUCAGCCUGCCAGCCUUGGAAGGAAACAUCCCCAACUCAUCAGUGAGUCCUUGCCGCAUCCUAUGACCUUCCGGGUCCCAGGGCCCAGAGCACACCUGCCCCUCAUGAGACUUUCCUCAGCUGGGAUUUAAGUCUGAAUUUCUUAAGAGGAAAGGAGCAGGUCCACAAGGACUCAGAGGCUACAGCAAGUGUCCAGUGAAGCUGUCACAUAUGAUUAAGAAGAGAAAGAAGCCUGUCCCAUGUUCCGGGAUGGACUGGUCUGGCUGCUUAAGGCAGCUACGCUGAAUAAAAUGAUAUGACAAUGCCCCAUGUCUUGAAACUUCAGCUUCCUCCUCUUCAUCCAGGAGCCUCCACCCUGGUCUGAAGCUGUCCCUUCUAUCCUAAGGCCUUCCUUGCCUUCAGAACCCAUGGUCUGUCAGGCCUACCGGUUCCUCAUUCCCCCAGAUAGAGGUGUGAGGGAGGAGCUCUUCCCACCUUCUGCAGACAGGCAGACUGAGGCUUGAGCAUCUGUGGCUUGCUUUUGAGGACACAAGGGAGGUGGGGGGCCUAGCUGGAGCCAGGUCUUUAGAUCACGGCUCUGGGCUUUCCGCCCACCUCACCCUGACUCCUCGUCUAGCCUCAUCCCCGAUUUCCCCAUUAGACACCUGCUCUCUACCAGGAGACCAAGCAGGAAGGUCCUUAGCACCCUUGGGAAAUCUUCUGUUCUUGGGGUACAUUUGGAGUGAUUUCCAGAACGACACCAUCCCCCACCUCCUGAUGUCCUCACCCAGGUGUCCCACAGGCAUGUCUGUCCUUCCUUGCCCAAAAGGGACCCCACCAUCUCCCCCAUCAACAGCUCUUCCCUUUAUUAGACCCCCACCUCUAACCCAACACCCUGAUCAGAGCCUGCUGCUGAGCUUAUCCACACACCUGCCUUCCAGUGGCCUCUCCUUCCUCCCAGCUCUCAUCCCUCCCUUCUCUUCACUUUUGCCACGCCUCAGGCACUGAUCGUUUCUUACCAUGACCGUUGAAACUAUCUCGGACGGGUCCCCUGCUGUGGCAUCCCCGCUCCACGUGGCCCUGGGUGCCUUGCCCUCUCUCACUCGCAGUCUUAGGAACCUAUUCUGGUAACGUGAGCGAUGGGAGUGCACCGGAGUGUGUGAGUUUGCCGGUGGAUUUGCAGAGGGCUGGCGAGCCAGGCCUGGAGCUGGCAGGUGUGAGGGGCUCCCUGGAAAAGACGAACCCAUCUCCCUCACUUCGCCGUGUCACACCAGGUGUCCACUAGAGUUGCCAACUGCGACAGUGUCCGGAGGUUCUCUGGCUGGGGCUCUGAAAGAGACUGACAAAGGCAGAUUAACGAGAGAAAAACAGACACGAGUUUAUUACCACGUGCAUCACGCACACCCAUGGGAACGUCCGCAGCCUGACUCCAUUUGUCCCACUUUCCAAUAUUCCAUGUGGAUAGCCUAGAACCAUCUAAGAGAUAAGGCACCCAGAUCACAAACCACAGGACUCGGAAUUCUCUGCUUGUCUCCUAAUUAGAAGCCAUUGA
rnacentral:lncRNA from 1 species